AGGUCUUUAUUUGCACCAUAUCCACCCAAACUAUUAGAAAAAUGUCAUGUAUGCAUGCAUUAUUGCACCAUUUAAGUUAAUUAAUCAGAUUACUUGAUAUACCGUGACCUCCCAGGUUGUAUUAAUCAUGCUUUCUUCCCCCCUUGUACACGUUUCUAGUGAAGUACCCGCCUGUCCGGCUCAUCGUUUCACAGCUUCCCGAGGACGAGAACACCGAGACUGGUCGGGCAGUUGAGAGGCCGGUGGUGUUCGGCAUCCACGAUACUGGACCAGAUGGACCCGGCAGUUUGGCAAGGCUGCAGCAUUUAUCCAACAAGGUUCUUUAUUGGACAGCAGACGCUUCUCUCCUCAUUUACAGCUCUGCUUGGUGGAAGUAAUAAAGAUGCAGGGACGCCGUCUCUGGACAAUAAAUGUUCUGUAUUUAAUAGCAGACCCUUCUCUUCAGUCAUCGACGAUUCUGCUUGGUGGACGUGGUGGAGAUGCAGGGACGCCGUCUCUGGACAAUAAAUGUUCUGUAUUUAAUAGCAGACGCUUCUCUUCAGUCAUCGACGAUUCUGCUUGGUGGACGUGGUGGAGAUGCAGGGACGCCGUCUCUGGACAAUAAAUGUUCUGUAUUUAACAGCAGACCCUUCUCUUCAGUCAUCAAUGAUUCUGCUUGGUGGACGUGGUUGAGACACCAUCACUGGACAAUAUAUAUAGUGGAUGUAAUAAAGAUGCAGGCACGCCAUCUCUAAACAGUAAAUUGUAACUACUUCAACCGUCCACCUGAAGAACACCUUCAUGACCGGGCAGAGGGAUCCAUCCACUCUGGAGAAGCUACAACAAAUGCUCUACUGGUGUUUUUAUCUUUAGUUAUAUGAACACUGGUAAGUAAAAGGUCGUGAUAACUGGUCAAGCAGGCUGAGAACGAAGAGGUCGGCAAAUCUACUCGACUUUUAUCCAAAGUGACUUACAUUACACAGUCUGAGCAACUGAGGGUUAACCCAACAGUGGCAACCUGGCAGUAGUGGAGCUUGAAACAGCAACCUUCUGAUUUCUAGUCCAGUAACCACUAGGCUACAACUGUAGCUUCGUUCUUGUCAGUUUUAUCCUCUUAAUAAAAAUAAACAUUUAUACAAAGCAAA